rnacentral:rRNA from 1 species
UACAUGGGGUGCAAACGUUGCUCGGAAUUAUUGGGCGUAAAGCGCACGUAGGCGGUUUGUUAAGUCGGGUGUGAAAUCCCUCAGCUUAACUGAGGAAGUGCGCCCGAAACUGCAGAGCUUGAGUACCGGAGAGGAUGGUGGAAUUCCCCAAGUAGAGGUGAAAUUCGUAGAUAUGGGGAGGAACACCGGUGGCGAAGGCGACCAUCUGGACGGAUACUGACGCUGAGACGCGAAAGCGUGGGGAGCAAACAGG